CGCCUGUUUAUCAAAAACAUCGCUUCCUGAGGAACAUGGGAAGUCGUGCCUUCCCAGUGAGCAUACGAGCUUAAACGGACGCGGUAAAUCGUGCUAAGGUAGCUAAAUUAUGGCCCAUUAAUUGUGGGUCCUGUGAAUGGUUUGACGAGUCCUCGACUGUCUCGAGAUUACUUUGGUGAACUUGAAUUAAAUGUGCAAAUGCUUUUAUGGGUAAGAAAGACGAGAAGACCCCGUGAAGUUAGAAAUUCCUGCUUACAACGUUAGUCUUUGAGGAUAUGGCCCGAGGGGGCAAGUGGGGGAAUGUAAGUUGAUGAGUUUUGGCUGGGGCAGCAAAGAGGCAAAACUAGACCUUUUUUCUUGGAGACGGGUGCGUGACGACCCACAGGAAUAAAAGGUGUGAUUAGCAGAAGGAGUUACUCCGGGGAUAACAGCGUUAUCGGCCCUGAUAGUUCUUAUAGAUGGGCGGGUUUGCGACCUCGAUGUUGGCUCUGGAUAUCCUGAGGCUUGCAGCUGGUCUCAAGGGUUGGU
rnacentral:rRNA from 1 species